AAGAAGGCGCACUGAGGAUGCCUUGGGACUAACCGGCGAAGAAGGACGCUGCCAAUCUGCGAAAUGCCACGGGGAGCUGAUAAGCGAGUAUUGAUCCGUGGAUGUCCGAAUGGGGAAACCCCUUAUGCGGUGACGCAUAAGAUCCUGUACUGAGUGAAGUAGGUAUAGAGAAGCGAACGUGGGGAAUUGAAACAUCUUAGUACCCACAGGAAAAGAAAUCAAACAAGAGAUUGCCCUAGUAGCGGCGAGCGAAGGGGCAAUAGCCUAAACCGAUGUCAUGUCAAUCUGACUGGAGUUGUGACGUUGGGGUUAUGAGAGCAAUUGGGUACAUCAGUCAAUGUACCGCGAAGUAAGAAAUCACAUUUUUAACUGAAGAGUCUGGGAAGGCUCACCAUAGAGAGUGAAAGUCUCGUAAGUGAAAGGAAUGUGACUUCGUGGAUUGUUUCUCAAGUAAUACGGGACACGUGGAAUCCUGUGUGAAGUAGGGGAGACCAUUCUCCAAGGCUAAACACGAGUUAGUCACCGAUAGUGAACUAGUACCGCGAGGGAAAGGUGAAAAGUCCCCCGUUGAGGGGAGUGAAAUAGUAUCUGAAACAGUGUGCUUACAACCUGUAAGAGAGCGUUGAUCAUCCAUGGUGGUGAUUAGGCUUGAUUACGUACCUUUUGCAUAAUGAGCCAACGAGUUACGAUAUGUGGCAAGGUUAAGGCGAAGAGCCGGAGCCAGAGGGAAACCGAGUCUGAAUAGGGCGAAACAUUAAGUCGCACGUCGUAGACCCGAAACGGGAUGAGCUACCCAUGACCAGGUCGAAGCGUCCGUAACAGGGCGUGGAGGACCGAACCGGUGGGCGUUGAAAAGCUCUCGGAUGAGUUGUGGGUAGGGGUGAAAGGCCAAUCAAAUUCCGUGAUAGCUGGUUUUCUCCGAAACAUAUUUAGGUAUGGCCUCGUACGAACACUAUCGGAGGUAGAGCACUGACUGGGCUAGGGGCCUUACCGGGUUACCAACCCCUAUCAAACUCCGAAUGCCGAUAAGUGAUGUACGGGAGACAGACGGUGGGGGAUAAGCUUCAUCGUCAAGAGGGAAAGAACCCAGAGCGCCGUCUAAGGCCCCAAAUUCAUAGCUUAGUGGGAAAGGAUGUGGAUUUACACAGACAACCAGGAGGUUGGCUUAGAAGCAGCCAUCCUUUAAAGAAAGCGUAACAGCUCACUGGUCAAGCGAUCCUGCGCCGACAAUAUAUAGGGGCUAAGCUAGGUGCCGAAGACGCGGGUCCUUUGCCAAGAUUUUGUGUGGUAAGUUUGCCCUCCUUCGCAUAAAGCUAUGGAGGGCGCCCUUCGCUAUUAAUAUUUAUAGCGAUUGGCGUCCGAAAGUUUUAUGUAUAUGGAGGCGGCUUGCCGCCCGAAGUCUUGGCGAAGGGCGGUAGAGGAGUGUUGUGUACAGGCUGAAGCGGGAUCCGUAAGGACCCGUGGACAGUGCACAAGUAAGAAUGUUGGAAUAAGUAAUAUAUAUAGGGGUGAGAAUCCCCUUCGCCGAAAAUCCAAGGUUUCCUGGGCAACGAUUGUCGUCCCAGGGUUAGUCGGGCCUAAGAGCCGGCCUCAAGAGGUCGGCCCGAUGGAAAACAGGGUUGAUAUUCCCUGACCAAUUAUGCGUUAUCCAAGACGGGACGCAUCAUGAUAAUCCAAGCGUGCUGUGAGUAUGUACGUCGCUGUACCAUUAGGGAGAAAUUCUAGGCAAAUCCGGAAUUUCUAGAUGGGUUUAUAACCUCCGGGUUAUAGACUUGUUGUAAUCUCGAAGGUAUGGAGAAAGUUCGCAAGAACAAUUUGGGUGAAUCAAGGUGCCAAGAAAAGCGUCGUGGUCACGCGUGUAAUUGUCCGUACCGCAAACCGACACAGGUGGAUGAGGAGAGAAUCCUAAGGCGCCCGGAUCAAUGUUCGUUAAGGAACUCGGCAAUACAGCAGGUGUACCUUCGGUAUAUACCUUGCCUGUUUGCAUGCUGGGUCAAUGGAAAGAAGUUUUUCUCAUUAGUUUGCACGCUCAAGCGUAUGGCUACGUCAGCAUCAAAUCGCUCCGCGAUUUGGCAGUCUGUGCCAUAAGGCUUUCGCUUAGCAAACUAAUGAGAAAGAGAAAGUUUGGGAAUACAUAACCAAUUGAUUUUGGUGGAGGUAUCGCCCAACGUAUCAGAGUGUUCGCAAGUAUCAUGAAAUACUGAAAAAGCUAAUUCUGGUCGUGGCACCAACAGUUUUUAUAAGCUGUUCUCCGGUUGUAUUCCCAAUCACAUCGAACACACAUCAGCUAAAUAGCAGGCCUUAAAAGCCAUCAAGAAUGUCACAAUUCUUGAAUGUAGCGUGGAUGGUGUUCCUUGUACCCGAGGUUAAAGAAUCGUUAUCAAAAAUUCAUCAAAGUCGUCAGGAUGAGGCGACAUUCAUUUAAAAGAUGAAACAAUACUUUAACCAAGGGUUCAGAUUGGCAGAAUUGCUUUCGUAAUUCUGCCAUAGAUGAGCACGAGACUUCAUCUUUUAUCUCUGUGCUCUCCGGAAUGUGGGUAGUCAUAUCCUUCAUGUAAACGAGUCAGCGCCAGCGUCUCUUUUUACUUAUAUGACUACUCACUUCUGUUCAAUUUCCAUUUUGUUAGAAGAAGCGUAGCUCUUGCCGAGCAACGUAUCCUCCUCUAACAGUCAGAGACUGUGACCAACAAUGAAAGCCUUCGGGCCGAAAGUUGUGUUCCAGUCUCUGACACCCUCUUCUAUUAUUUUAAGAAUGCGGCUAGCCGCAUCUGCGACAAUAAUAAUAGUGUCCGUAGGACACAUUAUUCUUUAGCAAGCGAGCAUCUGGCUUUGCCAGUGCGAGCGUGGAGCUGGACGCGAAGCGUAUCAGCGACCAAAUAAUAGGAGCCAUUGACCCAGCAUGUCAAACAGGCCGCAGCGAAAGACUUCUCCCGACUGUUUAUCAAAAACUUAGGUCCGUGCUAAAGCGCAAGCUGAUGUAUACGGGCUGAUGCCUGGCCAGUGUCAGAAGGUCAAAGCUCUUGGGGCAACCUCGGAGCCCAAGCCCU
rnacentral:rRNA from 1 species